GUAUUUAUUAGAUUAAAAACCAAUGCCCUCUGGGCUCCUUGGUGAUUCAUGAUAACUCUUCGAAUCGCACGGCCUUGCGCCGGCGAUGGUUCAUUCAAAUUUCUUCCCUAUCAACUUUCGAUGUUUGGGUAUUGGCCAAACAUGGUUGCAACGGGUAACGGAGGGUUAGGGCUCGACCCCGGAGAAGGAGCCUGAGAAACGGCUACUACAUCCAAGGAAGGCAGCAGGCGCGCAAAUUACCCAAUCCCGAUUCGGGGAGGUAGUGACAAUAAAUACUGAUACAGGGCUCUUUUGGGUCUUGUAAUUGGAAUGAGUACAAUUUAAAUCCCUUAACGAGGAACAAUUGGAGGGCAAGUCUGGUGCCAGCAGCCGCGGUAAUUCCAGCUCCAAUAGCGUAUAUUAAAGUUGUUGUGGUUAAAAAGCUCGUAGUUGAACCUUGGGCCUGGCUGGCCGGUCCGCCUCACCGCGUGCACUGGUCCGGCCGGGCCUUUCCCUCUGUGGAACCCCAUGCCCUUCACUGGGCGUGGCGGGGAAACAGGACGUUUACUUUGAAAAAAUUAGAGUGCUCCAGGCAGGCCUAUGCUCGAAUACAUUAGCAUGGAAUAAUGAAAUAGGACGCGUGGUUCUAUUUUGUUGGUUUCUAGGACCGCCGUAAUGAUUAAUAGGGACAGUCGGGGGCAUCAGUAUUCAAUUGUCAGAGGUGAAAUUCUUGGAUUUAUUGAAGACUAACUACUGCGAAAGCAUUUGCCAAGGAUGUUUUCAUUAAUCAGGAACGAAAGUUAGGGGAUCGAAGACGAUCAGAUACCGUCGUAGUCUUAACCAUAAACUAUGCCGACUAGGGAUCGGACGAUGUUAUUUUUUGACGCGUUCGGCACCUUACGAGAAAUCAAAGUGCUUGGGCUCCAGGGGGAG
rnacentral:rRNA from 1 species